ensembl:lncRNA
UUAAAAAAACAAAACAGAAUUCUCUCCCUGUUGGACGUAAACAUGGGAGCUGACUGCUCCUCAAACGCGCUGGAUAUUCGGCCGGAUGAGGAUUGAGCACGUCGUUAUAAUUAAUUAUAUAAGACAACGUUAUAUAACAUUGAAAGUGCACUUUACCGAGGAGGAGCACAGCAUUUGAACAUUUCUUCAACAAUGUCAUGCUGGCCUUCUGGGGAGGGGAAUUAUGCUCCAAAGAAGGCUGAAGGUUGACAAGGCGGGUUAUCUUUUUUUUCAAAGGACCCAUCACCUGAAUAUAUCUGAAUCAAAGCGUAUUCUACAGGAACCCGGGGGGCCACUUUACCAGAACCCCAUCCAGUUUGGAGCCACAGGUUGAUUCCACACGGAGAACGUUGCACUUCAUGCUAGCAGCAGCCGCACAGUUAACUUUUGCUAUUUUUCAUAUUAUUCCAUCGCUGUCGACAAAGCUUCAGGAUCGACCUGUUCAACACGUCGACCACGCGUCCUCUCCUCCGGACUCCGUGCGACGGACGCCUCGGUUCUCCUGCUCUUGGUUGUGGUGCAUCUGUUCGGGCGGGGCGACGCGCCCACCGUUGUAAUUAGUGCAGUGAAGUGGGUGAACUCGUGUAACUCCAUCAAAGCGGAUUCAAUUCCACCCAGAGCCUCGUUACAGAGUCUCGUUAACGCGUCCGCGAGGGGGCGGGGCCACACCGGUGUGAUCGCCCCCAUCCGGUCAGACGCCGGCCGGCUCUCUUCAUUGUUUGUUAGUCGUUGUUUACGCGUGACAUCAGAUGUCGGACAAACUGAUAAUUAGCAAUGAGUAGUUGACACAGCAGUUGUACUAGGUUGAGUAUUCCUUUGCGGUACAGGUAAUUAAAUACUGUUCUCACAAAUCGGUGUACGUAUUACAUAUAAUUAGUAGUACUUUGUCAAUUUUCGCUCAGUCAAGAAAGUGCGGAGCUGUUGUUCUGUGAGAUCCACGGGGAUCACGUUGUGUCCUCUGAAGCACAGCAAACAACCUGCUGGUUGUUUCACCAACCGGCUGAAAACUUGCCGUGAAGAAUGCGACGCAUUACCGCUGAUCGAAAACGUCUUACAUCACUUGAGCCGGCCAGCGCCUUUUGCUGCAUUAUUACGUUCCUUCGCCAUUCUGCUGAAAAUAGUCCCAUUAAAAGGCAAUCGCGCCGCCUCAGUGUGCGAUUCCGCAGCUCGGGUAAUGAAGCCGCAGGAGACGCUCGCCCAGAGCAAACUUAAAUCAUUUCACACACACACACACACACUCGGGAGACAUGCAGUCUGCGAUCGGAGUUAAAUCACUUGACCUCUGACCCCUCUCUGGACCAAUGAGGGCAUCCUCGAACACCUGGGUUGCAAACCCCCCCGACGACAGCCCGUAAAUAGCAGGCGAUUUGGGAGAAAAGAGGGCGGGGCAUGUGAGGGAUCGAUGGCCCCUCUCGGCGCGUUCCAUCGGUCUCAUCACCCCGAUCACGCCUGGGAGCUGCACCUCCCGGUUAAUGACCAGCAGCUCACAGCUGAGUGCUUCAUGUGUGACAUGUGGAGGACACACACACACACACACACACACACACACACACACAGUGAUGCAUGCUAUCCUCCAGCAAAUUAUUUUGUUUACAUAGCUGUUAUUCUCUGUUACACUCAGGGCUCGCAUUAUGAAAAUAAUACAUGAAAACAAGCUUACAGGGUGAACCCCCCCCCUCUCUCCUUUGUGUAUUACUUUAUCUGGAAACUAAUAGGGACGUUUUGAGCAGCCAGUAGCUGUUUUUAUUGAACUUGCAAAGCGGCAUUAAGGCUCGCUACUUGAUUAAUGAAACCAAUUAUUUCUAAGCGGGAUGAACAGUGCUCAGGAAUGCAAUCAUUUCUGCUUCUCUUCACACAGUGUGCCAAUCAUUUAAUACAGAUACAGAGUUCACUGGAGAACAAUCUGCUCGUUUUCUUUUCCCAAUGAAAGGAAAUCUGUUCCCCACAUCCAGAAUGUGUAAAGGUACGACACUUUUAUUUCAUUAAUGGGUCAGAAAACAAAUGCAAAGGCACACGAGAGGAAGCAGAGAGUGUAGGAGGUGCAGCUGAUGCCUGUAAGGUUCUUUCAUCAAACCGUCUUGGAUGUCAGAGUCUUCUCUCGAGAGGCUGGUAUGUGAGUACCUGAGUCUUUAUUGUACAGCGGGCAAAGUUUUGAGAACACAAAAUCAUUUGCAUGAUUUUCCAGGUUGGCAAAUUGCACCAUGCGUUAUGCACACAUGUGCUUUUUCCAGGAGAAUGCGUCCGAGCGAUGAAUAAACCGCUAGUAUUUGCAGUAUAUUAGCGUAAAUAAUGUAUAUUACUAUAUAAGCUGCCCGAGGAGUCCUGGCUGCUUUCCAGCUGCUCGGGUCUGUGCAAAUAACAGAAGGUUUUAAGAAGCGGCAUGAAAGUCCUGAAAGCCAGGACGGCAUAUUUGAAAGGCCUCGGCAUGAAAAAUGAAAGUGUCAGUUCACCCGAAGGGAAAGAAAACUCAUUUGCGUCUCCGUGGAAGCUCGCCGUGCAGACAGUUCAGCUUUUAUGAGUGAGGGCUUCCAGAAAACCUUUUUCUAAAAGUCGCCUAACACCCCCCACCUUAAUUUGUGCAGCUUGAAAAAUAAAAGUAGCCUUUGGAAGAACGAGCGGUGGUGCUGUGUCAGGAUGGAGGGACGAGGGGAGGCUGGCAGAGAGAGUGGUUUCCUGUCACCCUCACUUACGGUGACGGGCACCUGUUUAAUAAGGCCUCUUUGUGUGUGCAAAGCGCCGCUGGAGCUUUGUUCGAUCAAUAUGGUGGCCGGUGUACGCAAAGGUCUCCGUGCACACGCACACGUGGCCGCGUGUGUGUGCGUGUGCACGUGCACCGGCCCACUGGCCGCGGCUUCAUUAAACAUUUAAUUAACGUCAAACAUCGUUUGCGGCGUCAGAUUAAACUCGCCCACGUGCACGCGUCCCCCCCCCCUCAGACAGAGACCCACCCACAUGCACAAACGACGUCGGGGCAAAACGGAGGUUUCAGCUUCUCCCUGCGCAUGACGGCGUCACACACAUCCGCACGGGGACACGGACCCAUGUGAGGUGGGUGACGACGGCGACUCGGAGCCGCAGAGACGCGCGUCAAACCCAAUUUGUGUCACGAAGAGGAAAGAGACAAGUUUUCCGUUUGGUGUCUGCAUGUACAGUAUGCAUAUUUCCAUAAAUGUGUGUGUUACUUCCUGUGCGUGCUGCGCAUGACUCACUUCUUCCGUGUGAAAUUAGAGAGCGAGAGAGAGGAGAGAGCGAAAGGGGAACAGUGGCGGAUGGUUGGGGCAGAGGUUAAGCACACUUCCAGAUAGCAUCUUAAAUAUUAGAGCGGUGAUUCAUAUCCCAACUGAGAAAAUGAAAGGGAUAAAAAUAGCAGGCGACAGACAGGUCCAAUAAAAAGAAAGAGGCAGUGGGAAAGCUCCUGAGUCCACUCCAUAUUCUUGCUCUGCUGGCAGGCGGGUGGACACCCGAAGCCGAGUGAAACAACGCGCGGCUUUAGGUGACUUUGGCACUUUUACAUUAAGUUUUAAAUAGUUUUGGAAAUAGAUAAACAAGUUGCCCUUAAAUGGCUGAACGUGUUUUCACACACUGAUCAUCACAUUACAGGCUCAUUAAGCCGACGCUGUUGUCCAAAGCAACUAACAUUAAAUUCUUAAUGCGUGGCUUCUUUAAAAAAACAUUUUUUCCUGGGGAGCAAUUAAGGGUCUUGCUCAGGGACACGGGGCAGGCGGGGGCUUAAACCACCAACCUUGUGGUUCCCAGGACACCCUCUCGACUCACGCGCCACGUCGACUUAAAGAUCUUGGUCCGUCACUGAUACUAAAGCGCCAGGAUCGAGUAUCAGUGACAACAAGUAACCUGCUUGUCUUUUUCUUUUCCGCCUUGUUGUUGCACC